UUAGUGAACAUAUGAACCAAGUUCCCAGCAGCAUUUGGCUACCUGAUUAUUAUUAGGUAACAGCUCAUAUAAAUGUCCAGAAUAUAAAAUUUUAGCCAUCCUCGCUUACUCUAUUACUAUUGGUGCUCAAAAAUAUGAGUUUCCAAAACAUCCUUGGCCAAAUUGGUAGGUACUUGAUCUUUAGCCAUGUAGUUAGCAAAUACAAACUUCUUGAACCAUUUUAUAUGGUUUUCCUUCUUUUUGAUAACUCUUCAGUCAUUCCUUAAUUGCUGGUGAGCAUCUUCGAGCUACCUUGUGUUUUUUUUAUAGAAGUUUUCAAGCUCUCAAGGUCUUUUUUGGAGCAGUCCUGAGUUUUUUUCAAAUUAUUUGAUGUUUUCAUUGGACCUUUAAAUACCCUCUUCAGCUCUAUCUUAGUAUUGCAUGACUAAUCAAUCCCCUGCUUCUCACUUUGCUUCUUGGUUGGAUUCAUGCUCUUGUGCUUUAUUUUGGCUUAAUAGUGCUUGGCGUUUACUUUUUGCAGUUACAGCAUCUCUUUGCUAGUAUGUGUUUAAUUUCAUGCUUACACUAUCUAGCUUCCCUUUGCUUCUUAUCAUGAAAAUGUGUGAACUCAUUAUUGACAAUGGACCUUUUGGCAAUUGGGUUUCAUACAUCUAGAUUGAAAGCAACAACAUGAAUGGAUGUGGGUGCUAC
rnacentral:lncRNA from 1 species